rnacentral:rRNA from 1 species
AUUGAACGCUGGCGGAAUGCUUUACACAUGCAAGUCGAACGGUAGAGGGGGCAACCCCUUGAGAGUGGCGAACGGGUGAGUAAUACAUCGGAACGUGCCCAGUCGUGGGGGAUAACGUAGCGAAAGCUACGCUAAUACCGCAUACGAUCUGAGGAUGAAAGCGGGGGACCGAAAGGCCUCGCGCGAUUGGAGCGGCCGAUGGCAGAUUAGGUAGUUGGUGAGGUAAAGGCUCACCAAGCCGACGAUCUGUAGCUGGUCUGAGAGGAUGAUCAGCCACACUGGGACUGAGACACGGCCCAGACUCCUACGGGAGGCAGCAGUGGGGAAUUUUGGACAAUGGGCGCAAGCCUGAUCCAGCCAUUCCGCGUGCAGGAUGAAGGCCUUCGGGUUGUAAACUGCCUUUGUACGGAACGAAAAGGCUCUGGUUAAUACCUGGGGCUCAUGACGGUACCGUAAGAAUAAGCACCGGCUAACUACGUGCCAGCCGCCGCGGUAA